GCCGCUGCCCAUUUGCUCCUGCGUAGGCAGGCUUCUCCACCCCUGAGGUGACUACAGCAAUCCGACAUUCAAAGACUGCUGGUUUCUCUGGAUGUGACCUUCCCUUUGAGGCCUGCUGGUUUUAAAAAGGAAUUCAAAUGACGUUUCCUAUGAUACAAAAGAAUCCACUUGUCACUUCCCAGAGGAAGCCAAGGACACUGGCUUUCACCUUGGGGAUGAAAUGCAGAUUUCGUUAAAAGGAGACGAAAGAUCCUUCAUUCCGAAAGGAUGAAUAGAAGAGACCUUAAAGCAAAAUGCCAGCUGCUUAAGUUUAGAGCAUCGAAUUCGGCAAGGGCCUCAAGGUCAGCCAGAGACGAGAGAUCAGGGUCUCCCCAGGAAUAUGUGUACGUGCCCGCAGUUUGGUUACCCAUUCGCCAACUGAAGGACAUUUGGGCUGUUACCAGUUUGGGGCUACUGGGAAUAAA